GACCGUGUAGCUCAGUUGGCAGAGCAUUGGGCUAGUAUUCCAAAGGUCGUAGGUUCGAUUCCCACCGUGGCCA